rnacentral:rRNA from 1 species
GAAGCGGCAACAGCUCAAAUUUGAAAUCUGGCGCAAGCCGAGUUUGUAAUUUGUAGAGGAUGCUUCUGGGCAGCGGCCGGUCUAAGUUCCUUGGAACAGGACGUCAUAGAGGGUGAGAAUCCCGUAUGUGACUGGCUCGCACCCGCUACGUAGCUCCUUCGACGAGUCGAGUUGUUUGGGAAUGCAGCUCUAAAUGGGUGGUAAAUGUCAUCUAAAGCUAAAUACCGGCCAGAGACCGAUAGCGCACAAGUAGAGUGAUCGAAAGAUGAAAAGCACUUUGGAAAGAGAGUUAAAAAGCACGUGAAAUUGUUGAAAGGGAAGGGCAUGCAACCAGACUUGUCGGCGGUGUUCCGCCGGUCUUCUGACCGGUUCAUUCGCCGCCGGCAGGCCAGCAUCGUCUGGGUGCGCCGGAUAAAGGUGUCGGGAAUGUGGCCCCUCGGGGUGUUAUAGCUCGUCACACAAUACGGCGCCGCUCGGGCGAGGUCCGCGCUUCGGCUAGGAUGCUGGCGUAAUGGUUGUCUGCCGCCCGUCUUGAAACACGGACCAAGGAGUCUAACAUCUAUGCGAGUGUUCGGGUGUCAAACCCCUACGCGGAAUGAAAGUGAACGGAGGUGGGAACUUUUUGUGCACCAUCGACCGAUCCUGAUGUCUUCGGAUGGAUUUGAGUAAGAGCAUAGCUGUUGGGACCCGAAAGAUGGUGAACUAUGCCUGAAUAGGGUGAAGCCAGAGGAAACUCUGGUGGA